UGAGCGGCAGGAGGCUGCCGCGGUUGGAGGGGGUGACGCCGAUGGCCAUCUGCAGCACCGUCAGCUUCUUCCUGACUCUUUUGAUGUGCUUGUCUGAUAAUGCAAGCUAGAUUUACAUGUCAAGAACAUGACGGUGACUUCAGCCAAUUGCCGUGAAGAAUCAAGACCCCCACCUCAACAUCUUUCAAGGAAUGGAAUCUUGCCAACAAGCAUGAGAUCGAGCUUAAAAGUGGAUCCUUCUCCUACUGAACCUUCAGACGUGACCACAGCAUUGUGUGACACCUUGAUUGUGUUCCUGUAAGAAAUCCUGAGCUGGACAGCCCAGCUAAGCUGUAUCCUGAUGUCUCACCCACAGAAGCUGAGGUGGUCUUGUGAUGCAUGUGGCCAAUGAAAUGAUGGAAGAAGCACCUCUAGACAGGGGCUCCGGUAGGCUCUCUUCCCCUGCCACAGGGACUUUGGAGGCCAUGUGUUUAAAAGCAACAUCUCCAGCUGGAAAGACCGUGGCUACCUGAGUCCCAGAAUGAAGGAUCCACCUGCCAACCUGCCUUCCAAUGAGUAAGUGGUAAAUGUGCUGUUCUUCUACUGAGCUAUUGGGGUUUCUUUCUUUCUUUCUUUUGUCAAUUGUAACAUAUCUCAAUGGGAUAAAUAUUUGUUAGGUGCACAAGUCAUGUUAAAAAAUUCAAAACACUUCCAAGGGACACAAAGAAAGCUCAAACAAAUGGAAAUCUAUGCUUUUAGAAAGGGAGAUCCAUGACUAAAACAGUCUCAGUAGUGGAGAGUGUCAAUUAUAAAGAUGAUGCCAUCCCAGUUAGUAUCCAGAUACGAUUUUCUUUUUUCAGGGGAGAGUUAAACAAUCUCAUUCUAAAGUUAAAAUGGAAAGGAAAAUCCUGAAGAACAAUAAAGUUAAACUCUGAUCUCACACCUGACUCCAGGAUAAAGCCUAGUUAAUCACUUAUUUAAAUGUAAAAAAGAUACCAUAAAAUGUUAGAAUAAAUCAUGAUAAUUGUUUAGAAUCAAAUACUGGGGAGACCUUUCUUGACAUGACAUAAACCCUAUGAGGCUUGAAAGAGAUAGAUAGAUUGAUAGAUUCAAUUACCUAAAGAUAUAGGGAAAGUUACACAUAAAAGCCCUCUAUAUUUUUUCCCCAUUCACUGUCCUCCCUUCACCCCCUCCACCCUUCCCUAUUUACAAAGACUUUGUUUCCAUUUUUCCCUUUUCUCAUAAUUUUGCCUUUCCCUUAAAUUAAGAA